rnacentral:rRNA from 1 species
GACGAACGCUGGCGGCGUGCUUAACACAUGCAAGUCGAACGGUAAGGCCUUCGGGUACACGAGUGGCGAACGGGUGAGUAACACGUGGGUGAUCUGCCCCCUACUCUGGGAUAAGCCUGGGAAACUGGGUCUAAUACCGGAUAUGACCUCCUUCUGCAUGGUUGGUGGUGGAAAGUUUUUUCGGUAGGGGAUGAGCCCGCGGCCUAUCAGCUUGUUGGUGGGGUAAUGGCCUACCAAGGCGACGACGGGUAGCCGGCCUGAGAGGGCGAGCGGCCACACUGGGGCUGAGACACGGCCCAGACUCCUACGUGGGGAAGCAGUGGGGAAUAUUGGACAAUGGGCGGAAGCCUGAUCCAGCAACGCCGCGGGAGGGAUGUGGGCCUUCGGGUUGUAAACCUCUUUCAGCACCGACGAAGCGUGAGUGACGGUAGGUGCAGAAGAAGGACCGGCCAACUACGUGCCAGCAGCCGCGGUAACAC